rnacentral:rRNA from 1 species
ACAGGUGCUGCAUGGCUGUCGUCAGCUCGUGUCGUCGAGAUGUUGGGUUAAGUCCCGUAACGAGCGCAACCCUUGUCCUUAGGUUACCAGCACGUUAUGGUGGGCACUCUAAGGAGACUGCCGGUGACAACCGGAGGAAGGUGGGGAUGACGUCAAGUCAUCAUGGCCCUUACGGCCUGGGCUACACACGUGCUACAAUGGUCGGUACAAAGGGUUGCCGAAGCCGCGAGGUGGAGCUAAUACCCAUAAAACCGAUCGUAGUCCGGAUCGCAGUCUGCAACUCGACUGCGUGAAGUCGGAAUCGCUAGUAAUCGUGAAUCAGAAUGUCACGGUGAAUACGUUCCCGGGCCUU